CUGCAGCCAAUUAAGCCAACCAGGAAGGUCCCUUUGCACCCUAGGGGACCUGGCAUGCAAUGGUUGCAAAUAGCAGCCUUUGCCCAUGUGGUUGUCCAAAAGGAAGUUGGAAACAAUU
ensembl:snoRNA SNORA70 Small nucleolar RNA SNORA70